AUUAACCACUCUGGAGAGCGUGCAGCUGGCAAAUUUUUCCACCGAUUUGGCAGGCGCACCACCGAAGGGAAAAAGACAAGCGGUAGGUUUGGCGACUUGUGCCGCUUGACGAAAAUCUCAGGUAACAGGACAGAUGGGGUGUU
rnacentral:ncRNA from 1 species